GCCAGCCACACAUCUUGUGUUCCCUGCUUCCCGGGUUUUUUCUCCACUGUGGGAUCUCUGGAAUGCCAACCCUGUCCAGCAGGGCAUUAUUGUCCUAAUUUUGGGACUAUUCAACCAGUCCCUUGUCCCCCUGGCUCCAUGGCUCAUGCUCCCAGACAAAUCAAGUGCCGAAGAGAAAACGAAACUUCUUGCUGUCCAGACAACAUGGCCGAGAUGUUGUUUGCUUGGAAAUCUCUUCAUUCUGCAGUGGAUCUACAAAGCCAACUCUGUCCUUCAGGGUAUUUUCAUAGUCCUGGACUGACCACAGCUCCAUGUCCCAGGGGAAGUUUUGAGCCGAGAGAAAAAUCCCUAAAGCUGAGCAACAGAUC